UGGAAAACAAUGAUGCUCAUCAGAUGGUA
rnacentral:piRNA from 1 species